rnacentral:rRNA from 1 species
GAUCCUUCGGGGUUAGUGGCGGACGGGUGAGUAACACGUGGGAACGUGCCUUUUGGUUCGGAAUAGCUCCUGGAAACGGGUGGUAAUGCCGAAUGUGCCCUUCGGGGGAAAGAUUUAUCGCCAUUAGAGCGGCCCGCGUCUGAUUAGCUAGUUGGUGAGGUAAAGGCUCACCAAGGCGACGAUCAGUAGCUGGUCUGAGAGGAUGACCAGCCACAUUGGGACUGAGACACGGCCCAAACUCCUACGGGAGGCAGCAGUGGGGAAUCUUGCGCAAUGGGCGAAAGCCUGACGCAGCCAUGCCGCGUGAAUGAUGAAGGUCUUAGGAUUGUAAAAUUCUUUCACCGGGGACGAUAAUGACGGUACCCGGAGAAGAAGCCCCGGCUAACUUCGUGCCAGCAGCCGCGGUAAUACGAAGGGGGCUAGCGUUGCUCGGAAUUACUGGGCGUAAAGGGAGCGUAGGCGGACAUUUAAGUCAGGGGUGAAAUCCCAGAGCUCAACUCUGGAACUGCCUUUGAUACUGGGUGUCUUGAGUGUGAUAGAGGUAUGUGGAACUCCGAGUGUAGAGGUGAAAUUCGUAGAUAUUCGGAAGAACACCAGUGGCGAAGGCGACAUACUGGAUCAUUACUGACGCUGAGGCUCGAAAGCGUGGGGAGCAAACAGGAUUAGAUACCCUGGUAGUCCACGC